rnacentral:rRNA from 1 species
GGUUGCGAUCAUACCAGCACUAAUGCACCGAAUCCCAUCAGAACUUCGUAGUAAAGCGUUCUUGGGCGAGAGUAGUAUUAGGAUGGUUGACCCGUGGGAAGUCCUCACGUUGCAACCCU